UGCCAGACUCCUAAGGGAGGCAGCAGUGGGGAAUAUUGCACAAUGGGGGAAACCCUGAUGCAGCGACGCCGCGUGAGUGAAGAAGUAUUUCGGUAUGUAAAGCUCUAUCAGCAGGGAAGAUAAUGACGGUACCUGAGUAAGAAGCCCCGGCUAACUACGUGCCAGCAGCCGCGGUUAUACGUAGGGGGCAAGCGUUAUCCGGAUUUACUGUGUGUAAAGGGAGCGUAGACGGCAUGGCAAGUCUGAAGUGAAAGGCCGGGGCUCAACCGCGGGACUGCUUUGGAAACUGUUAAGCUGGAGUGCAGGAGAGGUAAGUGGAAUUCCUAGUGUAGCGGUGAAAUGCGUAGAUAUUAGGAGGAACACCAGUGGCGAAGGCGGCUUGCUGGGCUUUUACUGACGCUGAGGCUCGAAAGCGUGGGGGGCAAACAGGAUUAGAUACCCGAGUACC
rnacentral:rRNA from 1 species